rnacentral:rRNA from 1 species
ACGGGCGCAUGGCCGGGAAACCAACCUUUACCACUUUACCAGUAGCCUCAAGU